GGGUAGCUUUUGCUGCUCUGCAAAGAGGAAUGUUGCAUGAGAGCCUUUGGAGAGGGGAGAUGGCACAUUCUGUUUUGGGCGAGUUGAGUUGGAGGCAUUACAGGGAUGUCCGAAGAUGGAAAUCUUGAACGGGUAGUUCAGAAUGUGGGGCUGGAGUUGCAGUGAGAGGAAUGGAAUGGGAUGGAAACACAGUUCCUUGCAUUACCAGGAGCCAGGUGGUGGGCAAAGCCUGGGAGGACAUCAAGGAACAGUCCUCAACUUUUUGUGAGUCACACACUCUUCUGGAACCAAGAAGGAAGAGGAACACCUACAAGUGGGAACGGAGUUUGGGGGAUACUGACCAAGAGCUUCCAAGCCUGUCGCUGGGCCUCACACAUCAUACACCUGAGGCCGACGGAAGAGGGGCUGGACCUUAUGAAACACCAGCAAGACUGGGCGUGGCAGCUCAGGCCUGUAGCCAAGGCUGGAGGACUGCCUGAGGCCAGAAGUUCAAGACGAGCCUGGGCAGCAUAGCAAGACCUCCACUCUACAGAUAAAAAAAAAUGACCCCAUGUGAUGGCACCUGCCUGUGGUCCCAGCCACUCAAGAAGCCUGAGGUGGGAGGAUUGCUUGAGCCUGGGAGGUCAAGGCUGCAGUGAGCUGUGAUUGUGCCACUGUACUCCAGCCUGGGUGACAGAGUGAGACCCCCUUCUCAAAAACAAAAGAAACACUCGCAGCUAAAGCAGUUUCUCAACUUGUCCACUAUGACAAAUCACCUGAAGAGCUGAUGGAAAACACAGAUUCCCGGCACCCCCACCUACUCACUUGGAACGGGGAGAGCCCUGGAAAUUUCAUUGUUAACAGUGGGGCAGGAGAGGCAAAGAUCACAGGAGAAUCAGAGAGGGUGCAGGAAAGGAAGAUUCCAGAAAGGAACAGAGGGAAGCAGGCAGCGUCAGAUCCUUGGAGCCCAGACAGCAAAGGAGGCCAGCUGAUGUGGCAAUGGGGUCACCAUGGGUGACCUGAGUGGAGCUGCUUUGGUAGAGCCAUGAGCCAGACGGCCGAGGGUACUGGGAGGAUGAGCAGAUCGGGCAGAUACUCUGCAAGUCGGGAAAGCAGACAGGACGGGGCUGGAAAAGUGGGCAGGUGACGAAGACUGCUUCACAAGGACAGAAAGUCUCAAGACUGCCUGGAGUCACAUUAACCGAGGGAGAGGCAGGGGUGAGAGUGGGGUGGGAGGGUCCCGAGUCCUCUCCUCAGCCUGUGUGGCCACCUCGACUCACUGCAUCCCCACCAGGUGUCGGAGGCAGCCGUGCUUCCAACAUUUCACAGAGGGGAGACAGACACGGAGAUUAAGAACCACCCUGAUGUCCCACCAUAGAACACGCACAGAGAGCUGAGACCUCGUCUGGCCUAUUACCUGCUGCACUGCCAUAUCUGAAGACGCAAAACGGGGGCUGGCCGUAGUAUGCACACGCUGAAUGAAUGCCUGAGCUCAGAGAGGAACUGCUCAGAACACAACGACCUGGGCCACAGACCCCAGCCCCAUGGCCACUGUUAGGACUGAGAUUCAGCGCCUCACUCAGGCAUUUAAGGCCUUCCUGAUCUUCCCGAUCUUCCCUCCUGAGGCAUUCCAGAUGGAACUUCUCCCACAACCAAACCAGCACCCCACAAAGUAACCUGACCCAAACUCCCCUCUCCCUGGGGAAGCCUCACCCCAGCCCACUCCCCAUCAAUGUCCCACGAGACCCGUGAGACAUGAGCCCGCCGGCCUUCGAGCCUCCCCAACGCUCCAGGCCAGACUCCAGACCUGGCACAGGGCUUGUGCCGCUCGGCCCAGAACCCAUGGGCAGUAAAUAUUUGUUGAAUGA